AACGUACGCUGGCGGCACGCCUAACACAUGCAAGUCGAACGAAGUAGCAAUACUUAGUGGCAGACGGGUGAGUAACAUGUAGGUAUCUGCCCUUUGGCCUGGAAUAACACGAGGAAACUUGUGCUAAUACCGGAUAAGUCUUUACGGAGAAAGCUUUAUGCACCAUUGGAUGAGCCUGCACUUGAUUAGUUUGUUGGUGGGGUAAUGGCCUACCAAGACUGUGAUCAAUAGCUGAUUUGAGAGGAUGAUCAGCCACAUUGGGACUGAGACACGGCCCAAACUCCUACGGGAGGCAGCAGUGGGGAAUCUUGCACAAUGGAGGAAACUCUGAUGCAGCGAUGCCGCGUGAGUGAAGAAGGCCUUUGGGUUGUAAAGCUCUUUCGUCGGGGAAGAAAAUGACUGUACCCGAAUAAGAAGGUCCGGCUAACUUCGUGCCAGCAGCCGCGGUAAUACGAAGGGACCUAGCGUAGUUCGGAAUUACUGGGCUUAAAGAGUUCGUAGGUGGUUGAAAAAGUUAGUGGUGAAAUCCCAGAGCUUAACUCUGGAACUGCCAUUAAAACUUUUCAGCUAGAGUACGAUAGAGGAAAGCAGAAUUUCUAGUGUAGAGGUGAAAUUCGUAGAUAUUAGAAAGAAUACCAAUUGCGAAGGCAGCUUUCUGGAUCAUAACUGACACUGA
rnacentral:rRNA from 1 species